CAAAAACAUCGCCUCUUGAUUACCAUAAGAGGUCUAGCCUGCCCAGUGACCAAUUUAACGGCCGCGGUACCCUAACCGUGCAAAGGUAGCAUAAUCACUUGUUUCUUAAAUGGGGACUAGUAUCAAUGGCAUCACGAAGACUACACUGUCUCCCCUUUAAAAUCAAUGAAACUGAUCCCCUCGUGAAGAAGCGAGGAUAUAAAUAUAAGACGAGAAGACCCCAUGGAGCUUUAAACGAACUUCAAUUGCUCCCCUCCUUACCAUAUAAGUUGAGCACUAAUGAUAGGUAGUUUUCGGUUGGGGCGACCGCGGAGUAAAACAAAACCUCCACAAUGAAUGUAAUAAAUACUAAUAAAAGAACCACAAUUCUAAUAAUCAAAAAUUUGACAUAAAUUGACCCAAACACUUGAUCAAUGAACCAAGUUACCCUGGGGAUAACAGCGCAAUCCAUUUUAAGAGCCCUUAUCGACAAAUGGGUUUACGACCUCGAUGUUGGAUCAGGGUAUCCCAGUGGUGCAGCCGCUACUAAUGGUUCGUUUGUUCAACGAUUAAAACCCUACGUGAUCUG
rnacentral:rRNA from 1 species